rnacentral:rRNA from 1 species
CCCGCUGAACUUAAGCAUAUCAAUAAGCGGAGGAAAAGAAACCAACAGGGAUUGCCCCAGUAACGGCGAGUGAAGCGGCAACAGCUCAAAUUUGAAAUCUGGCCCCCAGGGUCCGAGUUGUAAUUUGCAGAGGAUGCUUUUGGCAAGGUGCCUUCCGAGUUCCCUGGAACGGGACGCCAUAGAGGGUGAGAGCCCCGUCUGGUUGGAUACCGAGCCUCUGUAAAGCUCCUUCGACGAGUCGAGUAGUUUGGGAAUGCUGCUCUAAAUGGGAGGUAUAUGUCUUCUAAAGCUAAAUAUUGGCCAGAGACCGAUAGCGCACAAGUAGAGUGAUCGAAAGAUGAAAAGCACUUUGAAAAGAGGGUUAAAUAGUACGUGAAAUUGUUGAAAGGGAAGCGCUCAUGACCAGACUUGGGCCCGGUGAAUCAUCCAGCGCUCGUCGCUGGUGCACUUUGCCGGGCUCAGGCCAGCAUCAGUUCGCUCCGGGGGACAAAGGCUCUGGGAAUGUGGCUCCUCCGGGAGUGUUAUAGCCCACUGCGCAAUACCCUGGGGCGGACUGAGGUUCGCGCAUUCGUGCAAGGAUGCUGGCGUAAUGGUCAUCAGUGACCCGUCUUGAAACACGG